UACAGAGGUCCCGAGCGUUGUUCGGAUUCACUGGGCGUAAAGGGUGCGCAGGUGGGUUGGCAAGUUCGAUGUGAAAGCCCCGGGCUUAACCCGGGAAUGGCAUUGGAAACUGCUGAUCUGGAGGAUCGGAGGGGGGACUGGAAUUCUUGGUGUAGCAGUGAAAUGCGUAGAUAUCAAGAGGAAUACCGAUGGCGAAGGCAGGUCUCUGGGCUGACACUGACGCUCAUGCACGAAAGCGUGGGGAGCAAACAGG
rnacentral:rRNA from 1 species